AUGGCAGAGUUCAACCUGCGCAAGCAGCUCAAGCAGCGGAUCGUGGGCUUGGCCGUAAUCGAGCGGGCGCACAAACGGCAAGCUGCCAGAAUCACCUGGCUCGCUGGGGACGCCAAAACUGCAUUUUUCUAGGCCAAGAUCAACGCGAGGCGAAGGAAGAACUUCAUCCACUCUCUGCAAACCGACUCGCACACAGCAAUCUCGCACGCAGACAAAGCUGCAGCUGCUCAUGAUCACUUCGUCAAAUUGCUGGGCACCAAGCGGGACCGUGGCUGCGCCAUAAACUGGGACGCGAUCGACCUGCCUUCUGUCAGCAACGCCGGUCUGGAUAACCCUUUCUCUGAAUAGGAGGUUUGGGCUACUGUCAUCGCCUCGCCUACUGAAAAGGCACCUGGCCCGGAUGGAUUCUCGGGCAGCUUCUUCCGCUCUUGCUGGAGCACCAUCAAACACGAUGUCAUGGCAGUUUUCGGUCACUUGUAUAGCCUGGCGGAGGCAAUUUUUCCGUCCUGA
rnacentral:rRNA from 1 species